CGGGAUGUAGCGUAGCCUGGUAGCGCGCCUGCUUGGGGUGCAGGAGGUCCCGAGUUCGAAUCUCGGCAUCCCGA
rnacentral:tRNA from 1 species